UGUCCGGCAAACUGGAAUGAGAAUCCUCAGAUGACUGCGUUUGUGACCUGGUUCCCGCCGAUGUCAAGGGACCUUUUACAUUAGUAGUGCGCACUUUAUAUCUAGUUCAGCAACCGCAGGACCAGAAGCUCUUCGUGCAUGGUGGGCACGCUGGUACAGGUCGAUUAUCGGUCUCCUGGGAAUUCCGACUGUAUUUAUCCAGGACUGCACUGAAUGUCGUCCGGCUACAACAUCACAGCACCGGCAAAGUUUAAGUUUGUCCCUGAACAACUUUGAUCAGUUAUCGUUUGCAGUGACAGCCAACUUUGAUGGUAUCGGAAGGGAAUUUAAUGGGAGAAGGGAGCCCUGACAGUUCCAAAUUAAUGAAGCGAUUUUCGUUGAACCAGAUAAUGAAAAAGCGUCCCUCCCAUCAACCAGAAAAACGUUCCAGGCUGAUUGAUAUUGAGUCCUUUCUGACAGCAACACUCACACCAGUAUGGCCAUCUGAAACGUCGGAGACGUCCCACGGCGGAGGAGGUCCAUAAUUUGACAACAGCUGUCGUGAACAUGGCAGAAGGUGCAGACAAGGGAGGAAAUCCAGUGAUCUCAUCAAGCGGAAAGGUGUUCACCGAGCUCUUGGCAAAUUGGGACGAAUUCAAGCUCUUCCAGUUGACAGACUUCUACCGGGACCGUCUAGAACAGGCGAUGGAAGGAUGAGUGCACGGAGUCAGUCUGGCGUUAACGUACGAGAAGCAGUUCAGUGGAUUGGAACAUCGGAAGGUCACUGAUCUCGCUGAUGAGGGCAAGCGGGCGGAUAGUUCCAAACUCCUCAUGAACCUGGCGAUGGAGAAGGGCUCCGGAGCCCGGAGGGUAAUGUGGGGAACCUUUGUGAAAAUGCGGAAUGGCGUUCCAAAGUUUGACAACAUACUGAAAGAAAUACAGGAACACGGUGAGACAGUAUCAAAGAGGAAUUCAACCUUGGAUUCAACCAUUGCACUGUUUACAACUUUAUACAUUUGAUUUCCUCAAAUUGUUUAAAUUCAAGCAGGUUUUGAUCCAAACGAUCGAGCAAAAAUCGCCCAAGGUUUACACGAGGUUCCCAGUGAGCUGAGAGGUAAGGGAUGAAACGACUGUUUCCAAUAGCACCUUUUAUUGGACUGUUCCACGGCAAACCACAGGGACAUAUGUUGACACUGUAACGCAACAAACGGUAGGACAAAUGAAGACAUCUGUUUAAUGGAGAGGUUUCAAGGGCCAUUGUUAUGAGGGACAAGGCAGAGAGUUGGGCAGCUUCGGGAAAGGGAUCAUACCGCUCUGGGGCUUGUAGCUGCAGAUCCCUCCACCCGAGUCAGAGCGAUUUAAGUCAGGGACGGACAAGAGGGAGAAUCUGGAGAAGGGAGAAACUGAACGAUUUCUUCACGUCCCCCCAAAAACGUCAAACCCCUCCCCACCUCCAUCCUAAACAAUCCUCACCUUGAAUCAUCUUUCUCACCUUGAAUCAUCUCUGAGUAGAAUUUCCUAUGGUCGGGUGUCUGCAUCAUUUCUGGUCAGGGACUAACAGUAACAGCUUCCCCUUACUUAGAAGAGCAUAAAAUACCGCAGGUAAUCUGUUCAAUUCCAAACAAGCAAUGAACUCCACUCUGACAAACUGCAUUCCCUCGGUGCAAACAAUGCCACAGAUAACCAGUUGAAUUUCAACGACAAUAAUCCUAUGAUGUCCACCAAGCGACAGUUAGCGAGGCUGAGGUGGGGGACAAAGUCCUGAGCUCAGCCUACAGUGGCUGGUGCAUGUGAGCUAAUGGUGUGUGAUUGAUAUUGGAGAACUCGAAGAAACGUGAAUUAAUACUGACAAACUGAGAAUUGUGGAGUAGGGCGAGGAAGGUGGAAAGGCUUGCAGAAUUCUGCAAACAGUGCGAUUGAUUAAAUCGCGAUAGUGUCGGGUGGGAAGAUGAUGUGCAUCAGUAAGCAGAAGGAUGCAGCGCAAACGGAGCUUGCUGCAAGUCAGUGCAUGGAUCAAGAAUUGCGAAGGCUUCGUAUUUUCAGAAUGUGAUGGUACAGUCAACUCUACGAGUAACAAAAGAGAGAGCAAGGUUCAAGGUGCAGACAAGGUGCGAUAGGGAAAGGAGGACAGAAACUGCAAAACUUAAUCUUGCAACAGGCCAUGCUUCACCUAACUUACCUGAAGAUUUUGAACGUGAGUACAAAUAAUCCCUGCCAGAACCCGUGUUCAACGAAGUCCAGUUCCUUAUUGAACCAGAAACAUACUGAUCACAAGGUGACAAACGCCACCCCCUCUAUAUCGCUUCUGUUAUUUCCGUCUCAGUCUUUAUUUGGAAAUAGAAGCCGCUCAAUUUCAUUGCAUCGUGGAUUUACUACAUCUCUACAAUUUGCCUGCAUAUUUCUUCUCCAUUCUUCUUCCUGUUGGUGGGCUCAGGAACAAUCUCAGCAGUCUAACCCUCUCUCACAUUGUUUCUAAAUGUGAAACAAAAAUAUUUCUCCUUGAUCAUUGAAGAACCCCCUCUGCCAAGCGCUGCCGUAUUCUCCUGAGUAAAUAUUACUCCCGUCGCUCGUUUCUUACUCUCGCUAUCUUGCUUGAAUGCAGUGAAUGGAUGAAUAUUGAAAAAAACAGUCCCUCCUUUUUUUUAGCCAGGUCACUGUUGCCGCUAUGCCUCUGUCAUCAACUUUGAGAUUUUAUAUAAACAUAAACACUUUUGGCACGGUCAUGAUCCACUUUGCUGGCCGACACGCUCCUGACAAGGUCUUGACACUGUGAUAUAUCUACAUACUUGGCAGGGUACUGAUAUACAGAGAACCCCCACCCCCAAACUCCUAGGAGGGUCCUGGCACACUGCGAAACCCCCUACACUCCUGACAGGGUCCUGAUACGCUGUGAAACGCCAUAAAUUCCUUGAAUAUUCCUGAAGUUAUGAACUCACUUCCUGAACGGCUUCCUGCAUGAUCUUCCUCUCAUAGUAGACAGAAUCUUUGGCCGUAUCUGAUCUGCUUCCCACACCUCUGCUCUCACACCUCUGUAGCCGGACGGACAAGAACAGCAUUUCCACCCCAGGUAACUCUGCAUUCAAUUGAUCAUCCUGCACACUUUCUUCCAGUUCCAACAAGGUCUAAGCAUCAGAUACCCAAUCCCCACCACACCUUCUAGCAUUUCCAAUGGAUUGCUUCCUUCAUAACUCCAGGGUCCGCUCUUCCAUCUCCACCAACCACACCCUAUCUCAUGGCAAUCCCCUGCCUUAACACGGAACUUUGCGAUAUUGCAAGCUGUUUUGACAAAUUAACCUCAUCAACCUCUUUAGCCAGCCACGGAUAGUGCAUGACACGCAUACAACAAAUAAAGGAAAUUUAUUUUAAAUGUGCACGGUGGGAAAUUAAUCCAUGGAUGCAAUUAUUGCCAAUACAUUUCAGUCGUGGGUGUGGCUGAUUUUUCUAAUUAGAAUCUGUGACUACAUCAGGACUGAUAUUCAAGAACAAAAUCCAUCCAAUCGCGAAUUGCUGAAAUUGUAUUCGCAGUAAAGAAUAUAGAAGGAUAACCAUUGUUCGUUGGAAAAGAUCACGAUCCAAAAUGAAUCAGUCCCUGUGGGAAGUGCUUCCACCGGACACUCACUCCCACCUUUCCUUCCCACGGUCAACAAAACGAUGUCUACCUACCCUUUGAUCCCAUUUAUUACCUCCCCGAAACAUCUGUAAUCCAUUCUAGUUCAAUCAUCCUUAAGAAUGAACGAAGCACUUAUUUCGUGUCGUGUUUCACGGUCGAAACGUCUCCUGAUUGUUUUGGAAAUUGUGGGCUUGCUUUGUCCUCUAACGUUGGGACUUUCAUAUAUGACAUUACAAUGACCAGUCUCUCGUUCAAAAACAAUAUACUGAACCCUUUCAGGCUUCCCUCAACCCAAAAUCCCAAAACCUUGCAGAACCCUUCCGAUUCCCCUCUGCAGCUUCUAGUUAACAGGAACCUUUUCUCAUGAUCCAAUGACUGCAGAGUUAAAGGAAAUAUUCCACAGAAAUUCUCUCAAUGCUGAAAUCUGGAAUUUAUCCUGUCUUUUGACAAUCUGUCUCUCCCUGGCCUGCAGCAUCGCAGGUGGCCAGACUGUGUUCCGGCUGCGGUAAUAAAGUGGAGUCUGAGAAGAGAUGGCAGGUUUAUGGAGGAUAUGUCCAAGGUUAGAUCCCUGGAAGCUGAAAGACACGGCUGUCAGUGGAUGUCUGGAAACCUGGGAGGUGGAGGAUGGCUGAAUUGGGGGAGUGCAGGGACCAUGAGCUGUGUCAGGCCGGAGCAGAUUACAGAGACAGAGAGGCUGUUGAGGGUUCUAGUGGUUUAUGAACGGAUAUUAGGAUUUUAAACCAGGACAUUACUAGAGUAGUGGAAAAACCCACAGAAAGGUUUGAGGUUGCUGGCUAAAUAGAACACGUUGAGAAUGAGGGGACGGGCACCAAUGUUGAAGUACCACCAGGCACGUGAUUCCAGCACCAUACACAUUUCCCCCUUCCCUUCCCAUUCACCAGACUGUAGGGACCGUUUCCCCUGUAAUCCCCUUGUUCUCACUUCCAUUAAUAUUGACUCAUCUUCUCACAUUAUCUUACCUGUUCUCACAUCAUCUUACCUUCCCAUCAUUCAGGAAAUAAACAUCUUCCCAGAGAGGCACUUGCACUUCCUACAGUUCAGUGUAAGGUGCUCACAAUGUAGCCUCCUCUACACUGGGGAAAUCAGACUGGGUGACCACUUUGUAGAACGACUUCCCGUUUCUGUUCCCCGUACAGUUGGCGAGGGUGACUCUGAGAUUUCGAUUUCCUUCCACACUAAUCCUUCAACACGCCCUGUCCUGACUUUGGCCUCGCACACGUUCCACACAUCUACUGUGGAGAAAACGAUGGAGGCGAAGGAAAUGAGUGGUGAUGUAUUGGACCACAAGAAUUAGCAGAGUGGAGGUAUUAGAAACCUUAAGUGUAUUAAGGUGGGUAAGUUACCAGGGACUGCCCUGCUGCAUUCUGUGAUCCUGUGGGAAGCUAGGGAAGAAAUUGCUGUGGCUCUUGCAGAGAUUUUUGCUUCAUCUCGGGCUGCACAUGAGAUGAAGAGUGUCUAAUGUGGUAGGAUUAUUUUAAAAAGGAUAGCAAAACCAAGCCAGAAAACUACAGGCCGGUGAGCCUGACAUCGGUGGUGGGUAGAUUUCUGGAUGGGAUUCUGAGGGACAAGAGCUAAUAACAUUUAGAGAGACAGUCCGCACGACUUUGUCUGAGGCAAUUCGUGUUUGGGAAAAUUCUUGUAGUUCUUCGAGGAGUUAACCAAGAGGUACAUAAGGGUAGGGCAGAGGAUGUUAUCUAUAUCGACUUUAGCAAGGCCUCUGACAAGCUUCCUCAAGGCAGUCUAGUCUGGAAGGCGAGGUCGCAUGCGAUCCAGGGAGAUUUAGCUGAUUGAAUUCAAGAUUGUCUCAGUGCUAGGAAGCAGAGAGUGAUGGCCGAGGUUGUAUCUCGGACUGGAGGUCUGUGUCUAGUGGUGUGCGGGGACUUUUGCUGUUUGUAAUUUUAUAUAAAUUUGGAUGUAAAUGUACAAGGCACAGCUAGUAAAUUUGGGGAUGAUAUUAAAAUAGCUGGUGCAGAAGGUCAUAAAAGUUACGGAGAGGUCUUGAUCAGCUAGCGAUUGGCAAAUCGCUUUCAAUCCAGAUAAAUGUGAGGUAUUGCAUUUUGGGAGAUCAAACCAUGGUAGGACCAAUCCAGUGAAUGGUAGGGUCCUAUGGAGUUUUAAAGAAGAGAGGGACCUAGGAGCGCGACUACAUUGUUCGCUGAAAGUGGUGUCUCAGGUAGAUAGGGCGGUUAAGAAGGCGUUUGGCACGCUGGCCUUCAUCACCCGGGGCAUUGAGUAUAGCAGUAAGGAAGUUACGUGGCUGUUAUGAGGCCUCACUUGGAGCAUUGUUCACAGUUUCGGUCACCCUGUUAUAGGAUAGAUAUUAGUAAACCAGAAAGAGUGCAGAAAAGAUGUUGCCUGGUCCUGGGGUCCUGAGAUACAAGGAAAGGUAGCACAGACGAGGACUUUAUUCGCUGGCACCUAGCAGAUUGAGGCGUGACAGGCUGGUUUUCCAACUUCCAGUUCAAAUGAAACUCGUAUCCCAGUAACAUUAACUCUCUGUCUCUCUCUGCCUCUCUCUGUAUCUCUCUGUCUCUCUGUCUCUCAGCGUUUCCCGGAGUAAAUCCAAAUCUGGGAAUACAGCAGUAGUGUCCGGAGUCCCGGGGAUCGGAAAAUCAACAAUGGUGCAGAAGAUUGUUUAUGACUGGGCCACGGGGAAAAUAUUUCAACAUUUCCAAUUUGUCUUCAGUUUCAAAUUCCGGGAUUUAAACACGA